rnacentral:rRNA from 1 species
AGAGUUUGAUUCUGGCUCAGGACGAACGCUGGCGGCGUGCCUAAUACAUGCAAGUCGAACGGAGAUAUACGCUGAAGAUUUAGCUUGCUAUUGAUUCUUGUAUAUCUUAGUGGCGGACGGGUGAGUAACGCGUGAGCAACCUGCCUUUCAGAGGGGGAUAACGUUUGGAAACGAACGCUAAUACCGCAUGACAUUAUUGAGCUGCAUGGCUUGAUAAUCAAAGGAGCAAUCCGCUGAAAGAUGGGCUCGCGUCCGAUUAGGUAGUUGGUGAGGUAACGGCCCACCAAGCCGACGAUCGGUAGCCGGACUGAGAGGUUGGACGGCCACAUUGGGACUGAGACACGGCCCAGACUCCUACGGGAGGCAGCAGUAAGGGAUAUUGGUCAAUGGGGGAAACCCUGAACCAGCAACGCCGCGUGAGGGAAGACGGUUUUCGGAUUGUAAACCUCUGUCCUCUGUGAAGAUGAUGACGGUAGCAGAGGAGGAAGCUCCGGCUAACUACGUGCCAGCAGCCGCGGUAAUACGUAGGGAGCGAGCGUUGUCCGGAUUUACUGGGUGUAAAGGGUGCGUANGCGGCUAUGCAAGUCAGUAGUGAAAUCCAUGGGCUUAACCCAUGAACUGCUAUUGAAACUGCACAGCUUGAGUG